rnacentral:misc_RNA from 1 species
GUUAACAUGGUUGAGAUUGCUAAGGCCUUGGCUAGACCUGCUUCCUACACAACAAAGUACUUUGGCAACGAGCUUGGAGCCCAAUCCAAGUUUGAUGAGAGGACCGGAACUUCACUUGUGAAUGGAGCCCAUGACACUGCAAAACUUGCUGGGCUGCUUGAAAACUUCAUCAAGAAGUAUGUUCAAUGCUAUGGCUGUGGGAACCCUGAAACUGAGGUCCAAGACGCAAAUGAUCACCUUGAAGUGUGCUGCAUGUGGAUUUGUUUCUGAUGUUGAUA